rnacentral:rRNA from 1 species
UUUGCCUACGGGGGGCAGCAGUGGGGGAUAUUGCACAAUGGGGGCAACCCUGAUGCAGCGACGCCGCGUGAGCGAUGGAGUACUUCGGUAUGUAAAGCUCUGUCAGCAGGGAAGAGAAUGACGGUACCUGACCAAGAAGCCCCGGCUAACUACGUGCCAGCAGCCGCGGUAAUACGUAGGGGGCAAGCGUUAUCCGGAUUCACUGGGUGUAAAGGGAGCGUAGACGGCGACGCAAGUCUGGAGUGAAAGCCCGGGGCCCAACCCCGGGACUGCUCUGGAAACUGCGUCGCUGGAGUACGGGAGGG